AUGGGGAGCGCGACCAAGAUCAUGAGGGCGGCGCUCCACGCCUUCUUCUCGCACUACCACCCGGCGGCCUCCGCGGCGGCGCUGCUCGCGCUUCCAUUCUCCGCCGCCGCGCUCCUCUCCCGCUCGCCCGCGGCGUCCCUCCUCCCGCCGCUCUCCCUCCGCCUCCGCCGCGUCCUCGUCGCCGCGGGGUUCCCGCCGGCGUCCCAGCUCCUCUUCCUCCUCAACCACAAGCUGUCGCAGUCCGUCUUCUCCUUCCUCGCCACCCUGCCCUUCUCCCUCUCCUUCCUGCUCCUCGCCAAGGCCUGCGCCGUGCGCGCCGUGCAGGCGCCCCCGCCGCCGCAGAAGCAGCGCCACCACGAGCUGUCAGCGCUUCCCGCGUCGUGCCACCGCUACCCGGCGAUGGCGCGGACGCAGCUCGCCAACUUCGCGGCGCUCCUGCUCGCCAACGCGGCCGUGUUCGCCGCGCUGCUCGCGGCCUUCAAUGCCGCGGAGGCGCUGCGGCUGGGCUCCGACGGCAGGGCCGUGCUGGCGCUCUCGGCCGUGGGCGUCAUCGUCUACUCCGUCGCGCUCGCCAACGCCGCCGCCGUCUGCAACCUCGCCACCGUCGUCGCGGCCGCCGAGGGCCGGGGCGGCUGCCACGCGGUCCUCAAGGCGCUGCUGCUCGUCCGGGGCGACGCCGCCACCGCCGUCGCCGUGGCGCUGCCGGCCAGCCUCGCCACCACCGCCGUGGAGGGGCUGUUCCAGCUCAGAGUCAUGAAGCUGUACAUGAUCGACGGCAGGAUAAGCUCGGCCAUGGUUUGCGAAGGGCUCCUGAUUGCCUACAUUCACUCCAUGAUCUGUGUUCUUGACACCGUCAUCACCUUCAUGGUCUACCAGACCUGCAAGGCCACCCACUAUUCUCGUGAUCUGUUGGAGUUGGAAGAGAAAGGGGAUUUAAUUGCCUGA
rnacentral:rRNA from 1 species